UCCCUGCUCUUUAAUACCUGGUUCAUGUUAUAGUGUCUGCACUUCUAUUGAGGUCUCUGUUUGCCAGUAGUUGCCAUGUCAACGACGACUGGCCUCAGCUUCAGAAAUGACAGCUGAUCAUACUCCACUUUGAAAAGAAUUGAAAUAGUGGAGCCGAUGUCUUUUCAUUUCAACAAGACAAUGCAGUAGAUUGAAAAACUUGAAGGAUAAAAACAGUAUUCUCUCUGUGUAUAACAGGACCUUUCUAAAUUGCAUCUUACAUCUUAAAAAUCUUCAUUCCUUUCUUUCAGUGUCUCUUGUGUUUCUGUCUGACUUUUUUUUUUUCACUUCAUUUAAUCGGUCUCAUUUUCUCUUGUUUACAUUUCCAUGCCUGUGCUUCUUUAUCUUUCCUUUGUUUGUUGUGGAUGAUCAACAGUGGACCUGCCAAAAAAAUGAGUCCACUGGAGCUGCAAACCGACCAAUCACCAGACGCCAAGCGGAGAACCAAGAGCUGUUUUAUGACCCUCAUUGCCUCCUCCUUUUCCUAUCUGUGUGUCUUUGUAUAUGUGUGGGUUUGUUUGUGUGUAUUUGAGCUUGCGUGUGUGUACAGGGUGUUUCCACAUCUGGAGUCUGAGCUGUGUUUUCCUUUGGGUCCAUUCCCAUGCUCUGUGAAAUUUUUUCUCCUCCCUGUUUCUCCAGACUCCCCUCCUCCUCCCUAAGUCACUGUUUCCUGUAAGCGCGAGACAGAAAGUUGGCCUUCUGUGUACGACUGCACGGCCAUGCCCUUUUACGGCUGCAAGAGAUGUGCCAGUGAACCGAGACCAACCUUGCAGAGCUAGGUGGAAGGCGAGAUGAGCAGUGAGGAGGCAGAAUAAGAGGAGGAAGCCUUGAAGAAAGACUGAUUAUUACUUGUGAAAGGAAUGCACCAACGGACGGGAUGAUGUCACCCCGAGUCUGCAGCCUCUUAUUUUACACCCACCAGCCUCGUCGUUCAAGAGCUGAAAUAUAGCAACUUCACCCUGAAAGAGACGACGAAGAGAAGAAACAAAAGAAGGACAGACAGAUGGGAAAAGGUUUGGAAAAAGACAGAAAGAAAGGAUGGAAGGAAGAGAGAGAAAGUGAGAGAGGAAAACACAGAGAAGGUAAGAGAGAGGGAGAGAAAGAAAAAGAGAGACUAAAGAAAAGCAGGAAACAAGUCACAGACUGAGCAGAGCCACAUCUGCUAGCAGUUAAAACGUCACCAGAGAACACAAAAUGCUACGAACACAGCACCUCCCCUCCCCUGUUCACCCUGUGGUGACACGGCUGGGACAAAACUGUCCCCUGUCCCCUAGCACACAUCAAUCCCAUGGGAGAUUUGUCCCACCUCCAUCCAUCACGUCCUCUGUUCUACAUUCAUGUCUUGUCAUCCUUUCCUGUAUAAAAUACACAUUUUGUUACCUCGUACAACUUAGAUUUCUCUCUCUCUCUCUCUGUCCUUCUUGA